rnacentral:rRNA from 1 species
AUUGAACGCUGGCGGCAGGCCUAACACAUGCAAGUCGGGCGAGCGGAGGACGGGUGGGUAAUGUAUGGGGAUCUGCCUGAUGGAGGGGGACAACUACUGGAAACGGUCGCAAAUACCGCAUACGACCAGAUGAACCCAUAUGGGUUUAGCUUGUAGGUAAGGUAACGGCGUACCUAGGCGACGAUCCAUAGCUGGCCUGAGAGGAUGAUCAGCCACACUGGGACUGAGACACGGCCCAGACUCCUACGGGAGGCAGCAGUGGGGAAUAUUGCACAAUGGGCGCAAGCCUGAUGCAGCCAUGCCGCGUGUGUGAAGAAGGCCUUCGGGUUGUAAAGUACUUUCAGUCGGGAGGCGUUACCGACAGAAGAAGCACCGGCUAACUCCGUGCCAGCAGCCGCGGUAAUAC